CAUGCAAAAUCUUUAUUUGGAACAUGUGUGUUACCGAGCAGGCCAGCCGCCAUCCUGAAAUAGCAAGGGUAUUUACAUUGUGCAGAGAAACACAAGAGCUCCUUGAAGACAUUCAUCGGUGCUUUGCUGGUAUUUAUCUGCUACUUUGUCCUGCUUCUCUCUUCCCUGUGCUCAUUAUUCUUCAUGCACCCUCACCUCAUCACCUUAAGGCAUCCUGUACCAGCCUGAUCUGGGGGCAAUGACUGCAGCCAGCAGUCGGCCAUCGUCGAUUGUCUUUCUAGGACCCUUUCUACCUGCCUUAGGUAUUAAUGGUGCCCAAAGAAAGAAUGAACAAAUGAAAGUUUCUGUAGUUAGCUGGGCAUGGUGGCACGCACCUGUGGUCCCAGCUACUAGGGAGGUUGAGGUGGGGAGAGCCCUUGGGCCCAGGAGCUUGAGGCCGCAGUGAGCCAUGAUCAUGCCACUGCACUCCAGCUCAGGCAACAGAGCAAGACCCUGUUUUAAGGGAAAAAAAGUUUCUUUGGGGUUGCAAGGCCUUGUCUUCACCAAAUUUUAGAAGUUCCCCUGACCCCCUGAGAUGUUUCUGCUGAGCAUCUCUAACAGGCCUGACUGUGAGGGCUCGAAUUUCAGCUGACCCAGGUGGAGAGUACUUCACUGAUUUUUAUAAUCUGGAAGUGACUGCUUUUCCCCCUGGCCGGGACAUAUGGUUUUCAUUUGUUUGCUGCCAUAUGCUUUUCAGCUUGAACUUGUCUUUGUCUUCUUGCUCCGUGACCAUGAAUGUCUCACAUCUCAGCUCUGCUGCAGGGCAGGGGUGAAGGAGUGUGAGGGAAAGAAGAGCUGG